rnacentral:tRNA from 1 species
AACGUCGUCCAUCGCUGCUCAUUGUAAGAAUAGGUUCUUACUAUUGUCAAUAAAGUCG